AGGACGAACGCUGGCGGCGUGCUUAACACAUGCAAGUCGAGCGAGGCCCUUCCUUCGGGAAGGUGUCCUAGCGGCGAACGGGUGAGUAACACGUGGGCAACCUGCCCUCAGCUCUGGGAUAACUCCGGGAAACCGGGGCUAAUACCGGAUACGACCUCUACGGGCAUCCAACGAGGUGGAAAGUUUUUCGGCUGAGGAUGGGCCCGCGGCCUAUCAGCUUGUUGGUGGGGUGACGGCCUACCAAGGCGACGACGGGUAGCCGGCCUGAGAGGGUGACCGGCCACACUGGGACUGAGACACGGCCCAGACUCCUACGGGAGGCAGCAGUGGGAAUAUUGCGCAAUGGGCGAAAGCCUGACGCAGCGACGCCGCGUGAGGGACGAAGGCCUUCGGGUUGUAAACCUCUUUCAGCAGGGACGAAGCGAAAGUGACGGUACCUGCAGAAGAAGCACCGGCCAACUACGCGCCAGCAGCCGC
rnacentral:rRNA from 1 species